rnacentral:rRNA from 1 species
GACGAACGCUGGCGGCGUGCUUAACACAUGCAAGUCGAACGGAAAGGCCCUGCUUUUGUGCGGUGCUCGAGUGGCGAACGGGUGAGUAACACGUGAGUAACCUGCCCUUGACUUUGGGAUAACUUCAGGAAACUGGGGCUAAUACCGGAUAGGAGCUCCUGCUGCAUGGUGGGGGUUGGAAAGUUUCGGCGGUUGGGGAUGGACUCGCGGCUUAUCAGCUUGUUGGUGGGGUAGUGGCUUACCAAGGCUUUGACGGGUAGCCGGCCUGAGAGGGUGACCGGCCACAUUGGGACUGAGAUACGGCCCAGACUCCUACGGGAGGCAGCAGUGGGGAAUAUUGCACAAUGGGCGGAAGCCUGAUGCAGCAACGCCGCGUGCGGGAUGACGGCCUUCGGGUUGUAAACCGCUUUCGCCUGUGACGAAGCGUGAGUGACGGUAAUGGGUAAAGAAGCACCGGCUAACUACGUG